UACGGAGGAUCCGAGCGUUAUCCGGAUUUAUUGGGUUUAAAGGGUGCGUAGGUGGCCUGUUAAGUCAGGGGUGAAAGACGGUAGCUCAGCUAUCGCAGUGCCCUUGAUACUGAUGGGCUUGAAUACACUAGAGGUAGGCGGAAUGUGACAAGUAGCGGUGAAAUGCAUAGAUAUGUCACAGAACACCGAUUGCGAAGGCAGCUUACUAUGGUGCAAUUGACACUGAGGCACGAAAGCGUGGGGAUCAAACAGG
rnacentral:rRNA from 1 species